CAACUCUUCCCGACCGGCGAACGGGUGCGUAACACGUGAGCGACCUGCCUUCCCGCGGGGGAUAGCCGGCCCAACGGCCGGGUAAUACCGCAUACGCUCGGUUGGGGGCAUACCUGACCGAGGAAACUUCCGGGGCGGGGAGAGGGGCUCGCGGCCUAUCAGCUAGUUGGCGGGGUAACGGCCCACCAAGGCGGUGACGGGUAGCUGGUCUGAGAGGAUGGCCAGCCACAUUGGGACUGAGAGACGGCCCAGACUCCUACGGGAGGCAGCAGUGGGGAAUCUUGCGCAAUGGGAGCAAUCCUGACGCAGCGACGCCGCGUGGGGGAGGAAGGGCUUCGGCUCGUAAACCCCUGUUGCCCGGGGCGAACCUCGGCUUUCGAGCCGACUGACGGUACCGGGUGAGGAAGCACCGGCUAACUCCGUGCCAGCAGCCGCGGUAAUACAGAGGGUGCGAGCGUUGUCCGGAAUCACUGGGCGUAAAGGGCGCGUAGGCGGCGUGCCAAGCGUGUGGUGAAAGCCCGGAGCUCAACCCCGGGUCUGCCGUGCGGACUGGCGUGCUUGAGCACUGUAGGGGCGGGUGGAAUUCCGGGUGUAGCGGUGGAAUGCGUAGAGAUCCGAAAGAACACC
rnacentral:rRNA from 1 species